rnacentral:rRNA from 1 species
GACGAACGCUGGCGGCGUGCCUAAUACAUGCAAGUAGAACGCUGAAGGGAGAGCUUGCUCUUCUGGAUGAGUUGCGAACGGGUGAGUAACGCGUAGGUAACCUGCCUGGUAGCGGGGGAUAACUAUUGGAAACGAUAGCUAAUACCGCAUAACAUUGACUAUUGCAUGAUAGUCAAUUGAAAGGUGCAAAUGCACCACUACCAGAUGGACCUGCGUUGUAUUAGCUAGUUGGUGGGGUAACGGCUCACCAAGGCGACGAUACAUAGCCGACCUGAGAGGGUGAUCGGCCACACUGGGACUGAGACACGGCCCAGACUCCUACGGGAGGCAGCAGUAGGGAAUCUUCGGCAAUGGACGGAAGUCUGACCGAGCAACGCCGCGUGAGUGAAGAAGGUUUUCGGAUCGUAAAGCUCUGUUGUAAGAGAAGAACGAGUGUGAGAGUGGAAAGUUCA